GACGUCGAUAUGGCGGUGUGUGAUAGCAAUCGGCACAUUCCAAUGUGAGUUACUCAGCUG
rnacentral:misc_RNA from 1 species